rnacentral:rRNA from 1 species
UAUACAUGCAAGUCGAGCGAAUGGAUUAAGAGCUUGCUCUUAUGAAGUUAGCGGCGGACGGGUGAGUCACACGUGGGUAACCUGCCCAUAAGACUGGGAUAACUCCGGGAAACCGGGGCUAAUACCGGAUAACAUUUUGAACCGCAUGGUUCGAAAUUGAAAGGCGGCUUCGGCUGUCACUUAUGGAUGGACCCGCGUCGCAUUAGCUAGUUGGUGAGGUAACGGCUCACCAAGGCAACGAUGCGUAGCCGACCUGAGAGGGUGAUCGGCCACGCUGGGACUGAGACACGGCCCAGACUCCUACGGGAGGCAGCAGUAGGGAAUCUUCCGCAAUGGACGAAAGUCUGACGGAGCAACGCCGCGUGAGUGAUGAAGGCUUUCGGGUCGUAAAACUCUGUUGUUAGGGAAGAACAAGUGCUAGUUGAAUAAGCUGGCACCUUGACAGUACCUAACCAGAAAGCCACGGCUAACUACGUGCCAUCAGCCGCGGUA